rnacentral:rRNA from 1 species
AGACGGAGGGCGCAAGCGAUGUCCGGAUUUACUGGGCGUAAAGCGCACGUAGGCGGCUUUGUAAGUCAUCUGUGAAAUCCCGGGGCUCAACUCCGGGGCUGCAGGUGAUACUGCAAGACUAGAGCUCGGUAGAGGCAAGUGGAAUUCCCGGUGUAGCGGUGGAAUGCGUAGAUAUCGGGAAGAACACCAGUGGCGAAGGCGGCUUGCUGGGCCGAUGCUGACGCUGAGGAGCGAAAGCGUGGGGAGCAAACGGGAUUAGAUACCCCGGUAGUCC